UUAGUAACUGCGAGUGAAGAGGGAAAAGCUCAAAUUUAAAAUCUGGCAGUGUUUCACUGUCCGAGUUGUAACCUAGAGAAGUGUAACCUGCGCUGGACCGUGUAUAAGUCUCCUGGAAUGGAGCAUCACAGAGGGUGAGAAUCCCGUCUUUGACAUGGACUACCAGUGCAUUGUGGUUGCGCUCUCAACGAGUCGAGUUGUUUGGGAAUGCAGCUCUAAAUGGGUGGUAAAUUCCAUCUAAAGCUAAAUAUUGGCGAGAGACCGAUAGCGAACAAGUACCGUGAGGGAAAGAUGAAAAGAACUUUGGAAAGAGAGUUAAACAGUAUGUGAAAUUGUUGAAAGGGAAACGUUUGAAGUCAGUCGCGUUGGUUGGGGAUCAGCCUGACAUUGUUGGGUGUACUUCCUGGUCGACGGGCCAACAUCAGUUUUGACUGCCAGAAAAAGAUCAAAGGAAUGUGGCACCUUUGGGUGUGUUAUAGCCCUUGGUCGUAUAUGGUGGUUGGGACUGAGGAAAGCAGCGUGCCAAAAGGCCGGGUUUCGACCACGUUCACGCUGAGGAUGUUGGCAUAAUGGCUUUAAGCGACCCGUCUUGAAACACGGACCAAGGAGUCUAACAUGCAUGCGAGUGUUUGGGUGGAAAACCCUUACGCGUAAUGAAAGUGAAAGUUGAGAUCCCUGUCGCGGGGAGCAUCGACGCCCGGACCAGAACUUUUGGGACGGAUCCGCGGUAGAGCACGUAUGUUGGGACCCGAAAGAUGGUGAACUAUGCCUGAAUAGGGUGAAGCCAGAGGAAACUCUGGUGGAGGCUCGUAGCGAUUCUGACGUGCAAAUCGAUCGUCAAAUUUGGGUAUAGGGGCGAA
rnacentral:rRNA from 1 species